GUCAGGUAGAGAAUACCGAGGCGUUCGGGUGAACUAUGGUUAAGGAACUCGGCAAAAUGCCCCCGUAACUUCGGGAGAAGGGGGGCCACACCUGGUGACGAUCUUUACGGUCUGAGCUGGGGGUGGCCGCAGAGACCAGCGAGAAGCGACUGUUUACUAAAAACACAGGUCCGUGCGAAGCCGUAAGGCGAUGUAUACGGACUGACGCCUG
rnacentral:rRNA from 1 species